AAAAUCUUAGUUAAAUUAUAACAUUAAUUUGUCAAGUUAAAAUUACUUAAGUAGUAGAUUUUU
rnacentral:tRNA from 1 species